UACAGAGGUCUCAAGCGUUGUUCGGAUUCAUUGGGCGUAAAGGGUGCGUAGGCGGCUUGGCAAGUUAGAGGUGAAAGCCCGGAGCUCAACUCCGGAAUAGCCUUUGAGACUGCCUCGCUUGAACGUCGGAGAGGUGAGUGGAAUUCCGAGUGUAGAGGUGAAAUUCGUAGAUAUUCGGAAGAACACCAGUGGCGAAGGCGGCUCACUGGACGACUGUUGACGCUGAGGUACGAAAGCGUGGGGAGCAAACAGG
rnacentral:rRNA from 1 species